AGUGCGUCCAUACAGUUUUGAUACGCACUAAAAUGAUAUACGUUCCACAACAAAACAGUACAUACUUUAAGGGGAUAGCAUAAAUAGGCGAAUUGGAACGCAGCACAAGAUGUGAGAAGGCCGAAGAACACAAGUGUGAGUCACCUGAGAAGGGAGAAAGUUUCAAAUGCGCUAUGAUUGGCUCAUGACCCUGUCAAUCUUGUCAAUGCGAUAUGCCCGCCUCCCUAACGGGCUUCUUAAACAAAGUAACAACAACAAUAGUUCCCCUAUAUACACGGCGAAAACCAUUAUUAGUUUAUUUAUUUGCAGUCUGAGAGUAAUAAUGUCGGGAUGCCCGAAAAUUCUUCACUGAUGCCAUUCAAUUUUGAAAUUGUUGUUUCACAUCAGUAUGCCGUCAAAUGACCUCCUUCAACGUUCCUGAACCUCUCUAUCAUAACAUUAAAGGCUCUUUUGUCUCUAGAAGAGGCGAACUGAGAGAAGGCGAGCUUGCGGAAGCAAUGUAGGAAUUCCGGGGGCCCAGCUGGUGUCAUAUCCUUCAUGAACUAUAAAAGGUCACAGAGUAUCCGUGACCCUCCGCUGAGCAGGAUAAACUUGUCACUACGACUACCGCAGCGAAACUCCGCUGGCGCUGAUGUGCAUCUUUGUUCUCCUAAAAGCCUCUUUGGGUGAAACCCCGUCACAGAAGAAGUAUUGACCAAUGGCAAACAAUUGUUUAAAGAAAAUAAUAAGAGUCUGUCAUUGUCCAAUUGUUGUCACGCUUUCAUCUCUCUGAUUUACUAGAUGGU